rnacentral:rRNA from 1 species
CCUACGGGGGGCAGCAGUGAGGAAUAUUGGUCAAUGGGCGAGAGCCUGAACCAGCCAAGUCGCGUGAGGGAAGACGGUCCUAUGGAUUGUAAACCUCUUUUGCCGGGGAGCAAAAAGCGGUACGUGUACCGCAUCGAGAGUACCCGGAGAAAAAGCAUCGGCUAACUCCGUGCCAGCAGCCGCGGUAAUACGUAGGGGGCAAGCGUUAUCCGGAUUUACUGGGUGUAAAGGGAGCGUAGACGGCUGUGCAAGUCUGAAGUGAAAUGCCGGGGCCCAACCCCGGAACUGCUUUGGAAACUGUACAG